UACAGAGGGGGCAAGCGUUAUUCGGAAUUAUUGGGCGUAAAGGGCGCGUAGGCGGCUUCGCAAGUGACGGGUGAAAUCCCUCGGCUUAACCGAGGAACUGCCUGUCAAACUGCGUGGCUUGAGACCAGGAGAGGUGAGUGGAAUUCCCAGUGUAGCGGUGAAAUGCGUAGAUAUUGGGAGGAACACCAGUGGCGAAGGCGGCUCACUGGACUGGUACUGACGCUGAGGCGCGAAAGCGUGGGGAGCGAACAGG
rnacentral:rRNA from 1 species